UGAUAACGGACGUAUAUUACUCAAUCGAUAAAAGAAAAAACAUAUAUGUAUAACGUCCCACAUCGAGUAGAAAAUUUUAGACAAUGGUUCGGAACCAUUAUAAAUAUGACUAAUAUGAAACUUAAAAAUCCAAAAUCUUGAAUGGAAGAUUACAACAAAAAAAAGUUUUACUAAAUUUUAGGGGAUCCAAAAUUUUAAAAUCUUGAUUGGUUAAAAAUGAGGUUUUUGAAAACAAAAACCAAAAUCUCUCUCGAAA
rnacentral:lncRNA from 1 species